rnacentral:ncRNA from 1 species
GUUUGCCAGAAAUUCGCGGGCAGCAGAUUUGCAUUGAUUCAUACUAUGGUUG